CUCAUGAAAUUCUAGCUCACUGCUUCGUCUCAUGCUAGUUGAUUUUGGAUAGCUACAACAAUUGAAAUAAGAAAUAGCACUGUUUUAAAAUGGUCAGUACAUUGAUUCAGUUGAUGAGAACUUUGGAUAAGAUACCAGAAGAGGUAAAGCUGGGAGCUGAAUGAUAGUAAAUCUGAUUGUGAGGUAGAAAAUUAUUUCUCCUUGCUUCUAUUGUAUAUAAGUUUUGACUGCAUUUGGUAUCCUCUUAAAUUUCUUUGCACGGACUUAAGUCUGCGAAAUGAUGAUAUAUUUCAGUUUAGUCACUCUGAUGAUGACCAUUACGUAGUUGCACCAAUCGAGAAAAAAGAUGCUCAGGAUAAUGGUAAUAUGGCUGAUGAAGGUACUAUGCAUCCCGACUAAGGUCUCACAAACGUGCACGGUGGGAGGCCUCCUAUGUGAGGUCAGGCGAUGGUCAACAACUCAAGCAGGAAAUGCUGAAAAGCGGCUAACAAUGCACGUCUAUUCUGUACAGAUUCUAAUAAACCUCUUGUGCCUUCAGCAUAAAACCACCUAAGAGACUCACUCCUUGUGUACUCUUUUUUACUUCACCAUACCCGGUGGCAGAAGUAGGAUUUCACCAAGGGGAUUCAAAAAAUACACAAAAACUAAACAGGUGAAGAAGCUAAGGAAAUUCAACAUCUAAUAUAUAUACAUAAAAUAAAAAAGACCUUAUAUACACAAUGUAAUUUUCGAGCGAAGGGGGUUCCGGCCACCUAGCUCCGCCCUGCAUACCUCAUAGUGGGCUAAUUCAUGAAUUGAAUCAAAUGGUGCCUUAAUACUCCUCCGAAAAAAGAGGGAAAGUGCUAAAACCGCUGCCAAAUUACCAUUUUCCGAUGAUACUCAGGAUCCAGCAGAAGAUGAACAACAAUUUGGUAGGCUAAGAAACUGGAUCAACUCAUACCACCUUGACAGAAUUGAAGUGACUGAUGUUUGCUCUCAUUUCCGUGACAUCUCAGCGGAACCUCUGAUGCUGGUCUUGACUGAUGAUAUCUAAGUGGGGUGCACAGUAUCCUUUUCCAAAUGCGUUUUCAUGACAUGAAGCUGCUUUGAUUGGAUUGGUAUUUCCUCGACUAUGCACUUUGUGUGUUUCGAAAGUCUUCACCUACGCUUUGCCCUUUUCUAUUUCUCCUUUUCUGGGAACUGGUCCCUUCAAAUGAAAUUAUCAGGUAAGGAGCAGGCAUCCCUUUUUAUAUUGAGUCCUGCUAUAGAGUUUACUUUUCCUUAAUUCUACAUGUUGUGCAUCUACCUUGUCAAGAUAAAUGUUUUUCUCUCUAUGCAUGCCAUCACCACCAUCACCCUCUGAGUAUUGGUGUCCUCCUUUUACCCGAAGGAUAUGCAAAGAACAAAUAUCCAAAUAACAUCCGAUACAUUGAUAGAAUGAGGAGAAAGGUUUAGUAUUCUCAUUUAGUUAACUAAACUUCUCAAAGUUAUGAGAGGAAUGCAUACAACAGUUUCUUAUUUCACUAAUUGAAAUUCUGUUAUGAGCAGUAAUAGAUUAGAAUAUUAGAUGCUUAAUUCCUGGAAUGCAUGUUUGUAAUGGACUGUCUUGUUUCAGGCUUUGUAUCAUGCUCUUCAAUGAACUAUGUAUGUGAAACGCCAAAAAGCUAAGGUUCGUGAACCUGGAUUCUCAGUUAGCGACAUUUCUUGAUAGUUUACUUAGAACUCUUCUUGUAAUCCGAGCAGUUAUACUCCUAUUUGUUUCAUCUUGGAAAUUUCACUAGUUAACUAGCAUAAAUACUGUUGGACAUGA